GUGUAAUAUUUGGCUUUCCAGAGUCGUACAAAAUAUGGGAUUUUUCCGAUGAAUUGUGCAACGAAACCAGACGAUAAAAAGGGAUCCUGCCAACAGAGAGCACACAUCUGAGGAAUCUAAACUUAGGAGACAACUCACCAGUGAAAACAUGAAGUCUGUGAUCCUCGCUCUUUUGGUGGUGUUGGUGGUCGGCCACAGUGAAGCCUUGAAGUGUAACUGUAACGUAAGUAGUCUGUGUUCAGGCAGAAUUCAGACCUGCUCUGGUUCAGGCCAAGUCUGUAUCAGCUUCAGGUUUAACCCCCCUGCUACCGGAUACUUCCAGAGAUGCAGUGGAGCAGCUGAUUGUCAAUUGUUGAUUAAUUCAGGGAUAGGAACCGGGCGCUGCUGCAGCUCUGACCUGUGCAAUUAAACAAUAAACAUUGUGCAACACAUCUUCCAGUGAAUGAACAAUCCACUGUAAUGUAGUGUUUGCUGCAUUGUCCUAACAGA